rnacentral:rRNA from 1 species
CCCACAUCCCCCUAGAGGAGCCUGUCCUAUAACCGAUACCCCGCGUUCAACCUCACCAUUUUUAGUUUCCCAGCCUGUAUACUUCCGUCGCCAGCUUACCGCGUGAGCGAAUUCAGUAAGCUCAAUGUAAACCGCCAAAACGUCAGGUCAAAGUGCAGCAUAUAAAAUGGCAAGAGAUGGGCUACACUCUCUACUUUAGAGAACACGAAAGACUAUGUGAAACCAUACUCAAAAGGUGGAUUUAGCAGUAAGAGGGGAGUAGAAUACCCCUCUUAAACCGGCACUGGGGUGUGUACACACCGCCCGUCACCCUCUUCAACUAAUCCUCCCAGUACUUAACAAAACUCACUACUAUAGAAGAGGUAAGUCGUAACAUGGUAAGUA